AACAUUUCUCUCGCCACAAAUGGCUGGAUGGUUCAAGUCUACUGGACGCUUGCACUCCGUGUGGUGCCAGAUCUUGGAGCUACAGACAGUUGCGAGCUGCCAUGUGGAUGCUGGGAUUUGAACCAGGAUCCUCUAAAAGAGCAGGGUCUCGAUGACGGCCUUUGACUGAAGCCGGCUAAUUUGUUUAUCCUCCUGGAUACUGGCGUUUCUUUUCUCUGAGGUAGGACCCCAGAUGUAAAGAGCUACCCAUACCGAAUCCAUGGGUUGGCUGACCUAGUUCGGAAUGAGCCAAGGGUCCUGAUGGCAUUAAUCGAGCUGUCUCUGAAGCUGAGACUACCCUUGGCCCAAAUCUCCUUCCAGUAAAUAUUCACGUGGCAUAUGACAGAACAAUUCACGUGGCGUUAUGGCAUUGUCUUCUUUAGUCCUUUUAACCUGGCAGGUACUUUCAUGGUCCAAGUUCAUAUGUGGGAAAGCUCUUUAGUAAUCUAUGGACUUGUCCGACUGGCACGAUUGGAAGAGGUUGGAGCUGCCUGGAUCAGCUGUAAUACAUAAUUGCUCCAACAGUGCUUCAGGCUAGACCUCUGACCUGCUCAGCUUCAAGUUCGCUGAUCUUUUGCGUGACAUUUAACGCUCCUGACGUUUGUAGCUUUAUUGCUGAAAAAAAGUAUAUUUGUAGAAAAAAUAACCAUAAUU
rnacentral:lncRNA from 1 species